GCUUCAUAAUUGCUUGUAUUUGAAGAUCUGCCUCGGGGGGUCUUCCUUCCCCUCCUCCCUCCGUCCAAAUCAGCUUUUCUCUUGCUGCAGCUUGUAAUAAAACUGCCUCUGGCUACUUGUUGCUUACAAACGCAGAGUGAGGACAAUAUUUUCUUCCACAGAGGAUUACCUGCUGUGAUCCCUCCCUUUGGGCAUCUGGUAUUGGCCGCUGUCGGCAGACAGGAUACUGGGCUAGAUGGACCUUUGGUCUGACCCAGUACGGCCGUUCUUAUGUUCUUAACAGGACUGACCCCAGUGUCUGUCAUUUUUAUGUUAAAAAGUUAUACUGAGUGAGGAAGUCUUAACAAGAAGAGGCAGAGAUGGUGUUCACCUUUUGAGCACAGAGAAGACCCUAUUCGGACACAGACUGGCUAACCUAGUGAGGAGGGCUUUAAACUAGGUUCGACGGGGACAGAUGGAAUUUGCUCUUUCUUAAUUUAAUCCAAAAUAAUAUCCAGUGGGAGCAGCGGCUACAUGUUGGAACAGCAUAGUACAUCACCUCAUCUUUGAUAAGAGAAGCCAGGCUGAUUAUCUGCACUGGAGGUCGUUUUGGCAUGCGAAAGGAAAACACAAGGGCUCGGCCUGUUAACAUUGAUGUGGGAGAUGAAAAAUAAUAUGUAUUCAGCAAAGAGCACUUGACACUUCAGAAACUACAGUUCAGAGAUAAAUGCUUAUGUAAUAGGAAUUUUGAAACAUGGAGACAUCAUGUUGAAUUUACUGUUGCUGUGUGUAUAAAAAUUCAAGGAGAUG